UGGGGAAUAUUGCACAAUGGAGGGAACUCUGAUGCAGCGACGCCGCGUGAACGAAGAAGGCUUUCGAGUCGUAAAGUUCUUUUAUAUGGGAAGAUAAUGACGGUACCAUAAGAAAAAGCCCCGGCUAACUACGUGCCAGCAGCCGCGGUAAUACGUAGGGGGCUGGCGUUGUCCGGAAUCACUGGGCGUAAAGGGUUCGCAGGCGGAGAUGCAAGUCAGGUGUAAAAGGCAGUAGCUUAACUACUGUAAGCAUUUGAAACUGCAUAUCUUGAGGGGAGUAGGGGUAAGUAGAAUUUGUAGUGUAGCGGUGAAAUGCGUAGAUAUUAAAAAGAAUACCGGUGGAGGAGGAGACUUGCUGGGCUCAUUCUGACGCUGAGGAACGAAAGCGUGGGUAGCAAACAGG
rnacentral:rRNA from 1 species